rnacentral:lncRNA from 1 species
UGACCAACAUUCUAACGCAAGUAAAGUCGAAGAAGCAUGACCAAUAUGAGGAGUUCUUACUCGGAAAAGCAAUGACCAAUCAGGAACGGAGGGAGAUCAACCUCUGCCGAUGAAGUAUUGGAUAACUAUAAGGAAGAUUUAAUAACAAAAAAAUAAAACCAAAACAGCUGACAAUCAUGCAUUGAACAGAUCCAAACAAACAGGGGGAAGAACCCUAGAUAUUGCGACAGAGGAAAGAACAAGCUUCAAAAAACCUGUUACCGGCGAUGAAUUCUACGACGAAGUGGACAGUCGAGGUGCCUGAACUGAAGCGAAGAGUUGUUCUUUGUCGUUUUCAAGCAAGCCUUUGGGGAGAGAGAGAGAGAGAGAGAGAUCACAGAUUUUUUUUAUCUGUUCGGUUUCUCAUUUAUCUUAAUUUUCAUAUUACGGAUAUUGUGAGCAUUUUUUGAUUUAUUUGCGACAAUUUAAAGUUAGUUCAUCUGGUUUAUACCCUCAAAAACAAAAAAAAUUAUCCUUCUUUAUUUGGCCACCAUUAGCAGUUUUAGUAUUAUUUAACUCUAAUUAUUUCUUUUUUUUAUUUAAUUAGUUUACUUAAUGAAACAAUCUUCUUCUUUUGCACUGGAACUGCGGGAUUCCAAGUGCGAGUGAAACUUUCCGGGAGAAAUUCCCCUCUCCCAGGUGCAUGUAUUCUUUUGCACGCGCACGGAACUCUCCGCAAGUGGACGUGUGCGAGCACGGAUCCCGUGCUGCCUGCCUGCGCAUCGUCUCCUCCUGCGCGUCUCCCUGCGCGCGGGUGAUGAUUCUGCGGGUUUCGGCAUAAUUUCCUUAAAAGAAACUACAUGUUUUCACUAUCUCAAUUUUUUUAAAAAAAAAAUUGACAAUAUAAAUAAAAAAAUACAGAUAAUCUACAUUUUUAUUAAUUUUUUUUUUUAAUAAAACUAGCUAGUUAUCUUAUAUACUAACAUUUUAU